rnacentral:lncRNA from 1 species
AAGCGGGGUGUUAAAAUAAAUGGGAGGUGUGACUUGCAUUUUUGAAAAUUGAACGCUAAAAGCUAACCCAACCCAAAUAAAUCACCGCAUUUCCAAACCAUUCAACGAACACCAACGAACGAAGAAGGAAAGAACAAAAACAAAACAUCAUAAGCUCCUCUUCCUCCACCGAUUGCUUCUUCAAUCAUUCAUUCAAACCAAAUUCAAUUUUGUUUUCUCAAUCUUUGACGCAUAAUUAUUCUUAAAUAAGGUUUCAUUCAUUCAUUCAUUCAACAAACAAUAACAAUAAAUGGGUAUUCCUUCAGAACUUAGAGAUGUUUGGGUCUCCAAAAGAAAUUCUUUUAUUAUUGCUUCUCCUGAUGAAGAGAGGAAGCUUUUAAGGACUAAAAUAUGUACUAAUGGUAUUUUUCAUUCUCAUUCUCUCUUACUUCACAUGUUUAAUUAUUAUAUCAUCAUUAUAUUGAUCCAUUUAUUAAGUUGAUUGGUUCAUUAAUUUAUCUUUAGAUUUAUUUUUGCUUAUUAUCAUCAUUAUUUUAAUGUAACCAAAUAGUUGGGCUUAAUGAGCUCCUCUUUGAACAAUAUGAGUUCCAUUUUUUAUUUUUAUUUUUUUGGUAUUAACCCUUUGGUUCCCAAGGAAAGGUAAUCCAGAGUUUGACCGCGAGGUAAGUAAAAUCUGGCCAACAAUUGUUCCUACGAGAGGGUUAAUACCAACGGAAGAAAUAUUUAAUUGUUG